CAGUCGCCGCGGGAACACGAAGGGUGCAAGCGUUAAUCGGAAUUACUGGGCGUAGAGCGUGCGUAGGCGGUGAGUUAAGUCUGCUGUGAAAUCCCCGGGCUCAACCUGGGAAUGGCAGCGGAUACUGGCUCGCUAGAGUGUGUCAGAGGAUGGUGGAAUUCCCGGUGUAGCGGUGAAAUGCGUAGAGAUCGGGAGGAACAUCAGUGGCGAAGGCGGCCAUCUGGGACAACACUGACGCUGAGGCACGAAAGCGUGGGGAGCAAACAGGAUUAGAUACCCCCGUAGUCCCUGUCUCUUAUCC
rnacentral:rRNA from 1 species